rnacentral:lncRNA from 1 species
AACCACUUCCUCCAAUUUUUCUAGAUCCUUCUUCACAGAUCCAACAAAAUCGCUUCAUCGGAAAACGUACUUUAGCUGAAUUUCAAACCCAACAACAAAAUCACAGUUUCAACAACCUUAACCUUGUCAACAACACCAACAACAACGUUAAUUUCAACAACAGUCAUGUUCUGUCCAAUCUUUUACUUCGUUCUGUUAAACCAAGAACAACAACAACAACAUCAUCAACAAAUUUUCAGUUUCAUGCUAAUAAUAAUAAUACCCAUAAUACCCCUUUAUCGUUCUCACUACCUGAAUUACAACAAUACCCUUACCACCAAACACAACGUUUAGGUGUUCCUCUUCUUCAUCAAUCUACAAUCAACCCAAAUUUUCAUCAUUACAGAAACUCCAACUCUAAGCUAGGUCAAAUAACAAACUCUAUUCAAACGGUUCAAACUAUACCCGUGUCCGGCAAAGUAGAAGAAAACAACAACAACAACAACGAUCACACUC